rnacentral:rRNA from 1 species
GUGGGGAAUAUUGGACAAUGGGCGAAAGCCUGAUCCAGCCAUGCCGCGUGUGUGAAGAAGGUCUUCGGAUUGUAAAGCACUUUAAGUUGGGAGGAAGGGUAGUAACCUAAUACGUUGCUACUUUGACGUUACCGACAGAAUAAGCACCGGCUAACUUCGUGCCAGCAGCCGCGGUAAUACGAAGGGUGCAAGCGUUAAUCGGAAUUACUGGGCGUAAAGCGCGCGUAGGUGGUUCAGUGAGUUGGAAGUGAAAUCCCCGGGCUCAACCUGGGAACUGCGUUCAAAACUGCUGAGCUAGAGUACGGUAGAGGGUGGUGGAAUUUCCUGUGUAGCGGUGAAAUGCGUAGAUAUAGGAAGGAACACCAGUGGCGAAGGCGACCACCUGGACUGAUACUGACACUGAGGUGCGAAAGCGUGGGGAGCAAACAGGAUUAGAUACCCCAGUAGUCC